rnacentral:rRNA from 1 species
CCUACGGGAGGCAGCAGUGGGGAAUAUUGCACAAUGGGCGGAAGCCUGAUGCAGCGACGCUGCGUGAGGGAUGAAGGCCUUCGGGUUGUAAACCUCUUUCAGCAGGGACGAAGCGUGAGUGACGGUACCUGCAGAAGAAGCACCGGCUAACUACGUGCCAGCAGCCGCGGUAAUACGUAGGGUGCGAGCGUUGUCCGGAAUUACUGGGCGUAAAGAGUUCGUAGGCGGUUUGUCGCGUCGUUUGUGAAAACCCGGGGCUCAACUUCGGGCUUGCAGGCGAUACGGGCAGACUUGAGUGUUUCAGGGGAGACUGGAAUUCCUGGUGUAGCGGUGAAAUGCGCAGAUAUCAGGAGGAACACCGGUGGCGAAGGCGGGUCUCUGGGAAACAACUGACGCUGAGGAACGAAAGCGUGGGUAGCAAACAGGAUUAGAUACCCUGGUAGUCCACGCCGUAAACGGUGGGCGCUAGGUGUGGGUUCCUUCCACGGAAUCUGUGCCGUAGCUAACGCAUUAAGCGCCCGCCUGGGGAGUACGGCCGCAAGGCUAAAACUCAAAUGAAUUGACGGCUGAGACNGCGAGCGACGACGAGGAGAG